GGAGUGGGGCGGGACACAGCCCCUGAUGGUGGGCUGAUGAGCAGGUUCUCGCUGGGCAGCUAGGGGUCUCAGAGCCGGCCUGGGGGAUGAGGAAGCUGCUGGGCUGCGGGCUGAGGGCAGGGGCGGUGCUUGCAGUGUCCCCCCAGCCGCACAUCGUCCCCGACAGGCACUGCGAUGUGGGCAGGGUGACAACAGCACCUGCCUCCAGUCUCCUGCAGCUUCCCGGUGGGCUCUGGGUUCUCAGGGACGCUCAUCAGAGCAGCCCCGCAAGCUUGGUGAAAACGCAGACUGUUCCUGCGUGAACCCCCCAUUCCUUGGGCCUGGAUGUGGGGCUGGGAGUGAGCAUUUCGAAGCUCCCGGGGUCCAGGUAGACCUUGGAGAACAGCUGGGUCUCCACCGCCCACCCCACGGCCCUGGUUUGCUCUCCUCCUGGUUUCAGAAGACGUUUGCUGAUUUGAGUGGAGGGAGACGGCUUCUCUGCCUCAGUCCCCCUCGGAGGACCCAUUUAUUACGGUCCCUUAGGCGCUAGGAGUACCUCCCCUUGGGUGUCUGUGACCCUCGGCUGGGUCACUGGGCUCCACGCUGAUGUGGGUAACCCAUUUCUCUGGCUUUCCUUCUGCUGUUAGUUUGCAUAGUCCUUGUGUGGAAUCUCCAGAGUGCAAUUUCACGACCCUGGGUUGGUCUUUCUUGAGCUAAGCCCCUUUGUGCAGGUGAGCCGAGGUUGACUUCACCAACUCCCUCUCCUUCGUCCCAUUUUUGGUGGCUUUUUAAUCAUGAAGUGUUGACCCUCUGGCUCCAGGGCUGGUUGGACUUACACAUCGUGUGUGGUGUGCUUGUGUGUUUGUGUGUGUGCAUGUUUGUGGUGGGUGUCAGUGUCCAAGAACCUUGAAUCCAGGGCCAAAGGGGUGAUCAUGAAACUCAAUUCUUCACUUGAUUUCUUCAACACCCUUUUUAUUACAAUGAUUUUCAGAAAAGUUGAAUGAAUUGUUCCAUGGACACUCACGUGUCACCCCGGAAGCCACAGGUAACUUUCUCUGCAUUGGCUUUGUCCACCACUCAUCAAUUUGUCCUGCUGUUUUUGCACAGUUGAAUGCCAGGGGCCUCAUCCUGCCCAGUGACAGCGUGGCCUCGGUUUAAACUCCCCUGGAGGCGGGAGACUCGCUGCCUGCUCAGGCUGUUCCGUCACUCCAACCGUCACAGGGCCAGGCUCCAUUUCUCCCAGGCAUACUCUUCAAAAGAAGGCGUUGAAGGGAAUUAAGAGUCAGCACCUGGGGAAGGGGACAGCUCAGGGGUAGAGAAAAUGCUUAGCAUGCACAGGGUCCUGGGUUCAAUCCCCAGUCCCUUCAUUUAAAAAAAAAAAAAAAAAAAAAAAAAAGAGUCCAAACCCCGUGGGGUUGUUAGAGCUGUGCUGGGCCCGCUGCAGGGGUUAUGGUCCAGGAGUCCUGGAACGUGUGGCCCUAGCCAGCCCCCAGUGAGGUGGACAAGCUGAGAACCGCUGGUUGCGCUGUUGCAGCCCCUCAGAGGUACAGUUAUCCCUAAAAUGACUCCUCAGCCAGAAUCUUGGGUGGCCCUUGGAACAGGUGUGGACACAUGCUCGUGGCCUGCGGGUGCCACUGUCUCUACCCUGAUAGGCCGUGCCAGCUCCUCUCCCGGCUGCCCCGGUGCCCCGGCUGCUGGCCAUGGGGCAGGCGCCUUCACUGCUCUGUGGUUUCCCCUGCAGGCUGCGUGGCUCCGCAAGUCAGACGUGGGCCAGCCCAGUGCCUCUCUGUGGCACUGCUGCUGCCUGGGUGUCCACUGGCUCCCCUGACUGGCAGGGGAUGGGGUCCUGGCCAAGUCCCUGGAGAGAGGCGGCAUGAUUAGGCCUGGAUGGGCCAUGGCCCCAACACCCUUUCUUUGCUUAAUGUAUUUCCUCAUUGCCCAAAGCAAAACGUUCUGUAAAAAUGUGUGUGUGCCUCUGAGAAUGCCUUUGCCUCUUUCUGCAGACAGGGGACGCCAUCUUUCACACUGUGCUGUUGCAAAGUGAGUCAUUAAAGAAAAAGGAAACGUGUUAAUUGUGAUGGCAUAUUGGUACCUACGUGGACGGCCAGGCUGGGGACCCGUAUGAAUUUCAUUACUUUCUGUCUGCAUUUGGGGUUUGGCUUGAACUCAGCGGCCUCUGAGAGCAUACUCUUGUAAAACUGUAAUUAACUCCUGCCAGCGUCAGUGUGUUUUAUUGUCCUCCACAGCCCAAGGCCCCCUGUGACUGAUUUAUGCCGUCCUGAAGGCCGUUGCUCUGAGCUGACGGGCGUGGAUUGAGUUUUAUGGGCUCCAGCUCGAGGGCAGCUCCUCCCAGUCAGAGAUGAUAGCGGGGCCACUCUGCUGGGGUUGGGGGGGCAAGGCUUAGUCAGAACUUGUAGCGUCAGAAACAGGCGGGCUGAGCUGGGAGACAUGGCCUUGGAGGCUGCUGGGGUCUGGGGCUCAAGCUCGGGCCCUGACCGCCGCCUGGAAGCUGUGGGGUGGGGUGGGUCACCUCACCUCGGGCUCCCUCUCUCCCGUUCUGAAGGCGGGGGCAGGAGUCUCGCCCCUAGUCAGCCAGGUAUGGGGUCAUCUCCACAGCCGCAGGAGGACUCAGAGCUGCUGACGUCCCCUGGCUUGGUGGGCUGGGGUCCAUGGCGGCCUGGCCUCUCAGGGUAGGGGCCGGGGAGGCAGACCUGUGGCCCCAACAGUAGCCACCUGCCACAUCCUGCCCACAAGCGCAGCCCCGGCAUCUCUGUCCACAGGACCAGAGGGCUUUGGGGACCAGCCCACCUUGUGGUGACUGCUGGGGGUGUUGGGGGGAGGUCUGCACGGGGGCCGCCCCAGCCCGCUGCGCCGGCCCCUCUGCCCCCGCUUCCCGGUCACCUAAACAUCUUCACGAGCAGAGGGCUGUCACUUUGAUGAGUGGUUUCCACUUUUGUAAUUGAGAUGUACUUAGACCCUCUGAGCUGGGAUUGUAACUUGAGUUUUUUUUUAAAGUUUAAAAUUUUAAUUGCACCCCUUGGGAGUGAUGGAAAUGUGAGCUGUUGUGAUUGUGGUGGUGAUUUCAUGGGUGUUUGUAUCUAUCAAGACUCAUCAAAUAGUGCAUCUGAAAUAGGUGCAGUUUACUGUGCAGGAACCAUAGCACAACAAAGGUGUUAAUAAAAGCCAUUGUUCCCACAACACACACGGCCCGCUCCUCCCAGCUCGGCAGUCCAUCCGCCGACACCUGACUCUCCAGAGAACAACUCUGCCGCAGUUCAUUUAACUCCUUUUCGAAGACUUUUAUCUUUUUAUUUUGCCGAGAAGUCAGGUGUUUUGCAGUCUCCUGCUGCCUCAGAAACGCUGAGAUCUGAGCACACAGCCACCCAGCGACCCCGCUGGUCACAGGCCUUGGAAGUUGCUGCCUGUUCCUGUGGGAUGAGUUCCCAGGGCGAGAUGGCUGGGUCGGUGAGUGUGUCAUUUGGAGACUUAACAGCUUUUGCAGACUCUUCCCCCAAAGGCUGCAGGAAUUCGCAGCAGCAGGCGGGGUCUGCAUCCGGCCCGUGAGCGCUGGGUGCUGAGUGCUGGGUGCUGAGCGCUGGGUGCUGAGUGCUGGGUGCUGAGUGCUGGGUGCUGAGCGCUGGGUGGUGAGCGCUGGGUGCUGAGCGCUGGGUGCUGAGUGCUGGGUGCUGAACGCUGGGUGCUGAGUGCUGGGUGCUGAGCGCUGGGUGCUGAGUGCUGGGUGCUGAGCGCUGGGUGGUGAGCGCUGGGUGCUGAGCGCUGGGUGCUGAGUGCUGGGUGCUGAACGCUGGGUGCUGAGUGCUGGGUGCUGAGCGCUGGGUGCUGAGUGCUGGGUGCUGAGCGCUGGGUGGUGAGCGCUGGGUGCUGAGCGCUGGGUGCUGAGUGCUGGGUGCUGAGCGCUGGGUGCUGAGUGCUGGGUGCUGAGCGCUGGGUGCUGAGCGCUGGGUGCUGAGUGCUGGGUGCUGAGCGCUGGGUGCUGAGCGCUGGGUGCUGAGUGCUGGGUGCUGAGUGCUGGGUGCUGAGCGCUGGGUGCUGAGUGCUGGGUGCUGAGCGCUGGGUGCUGAGCGCUGGGUGCUGAGGUCAUUGAACUCGGAUUUCAGUCUGACGGGUGAUAACCCUCUUGCUCUUCUCACUGUGGCCCAGUCGCGUUUCCCACGAGCUCAUCUUAGCAGCGGAUGGUGCACGUUACCGGCAGGCAUUUUUCCCCAUUCGGAGACAUCGCCUUUCUUUCUCUUUCCCCGCUUUCUCUCUUGCUCUUCACCUGGUCCUUCUCAAACGAUGUGUUUCCACCAUUUUCCAAACAACUCCCAGGAGACCUUUGGUCCUCACUCAGCGGUCGUUCCUCAUCAUUUGAAAUGAUGGUGACUGUCCCCACCUGCUCGCCUGCAGCCUGCGGGCAGGCAGUGCAGUGUGUCCGCUCCAGCUCCUGGGGAAUUCAGGGUCAGAGUUUCUUGGCUGCCUUUACAGGAACAUUUUUGGUUUUGUAACUGUGUCCUUGCGCUCAGACGCGGUUCCUUUUCAGAGGGCGGAGCCAGCCCAGCUGCUAGGAUCAGAUGCAUCUUGAUUGAACAUGAACCUCCCUCUGUGGUGACUGAGCUGGUUUCUGGGCAUUUCUCCCGGGGGUGGAUUUGGUGGCAGGAGAGCCAGCUCCGGGCCUUGUGGGGCCGGCACCGCCCUCCUCGGUGGACUCACUGUCACAUCCUAACCCCUGCCAGCAGCGCGUCUGCACCCCAGAGAGGAGGGCCGCCCUCAGAGUCCGGUAAGCAGCUCUGCACGGCGGGGCCCACGUGCCUGGUCCAGAGGAGGAGGCACACGCCGGGCACCUUUCUCCUCCUGGACUCUGGAGCUUUGGGAAGAGACUGGGGGCUGGAAGCCAAACCACAGAAACGCUUUUCAAAUAAUUGAAACGUAUGUAACUAGGGUUUGAGUCUUUCAACGUUUCCAGCUGUCCCUAGAUGUCCACGUGUCAAGUGAGAGGAUCUCCGUGGAGUUUCUCUUCCUCUUUCCCUCCCUCCCUCCCUCCCUCCCUCCCUCCCUUCCUUCCUUCCUUCCUUCCUUUCCUCCCUCUCUCCAAUAAUGUUAUGCAGAAAAUUUGAAUUAUUGUACCGCAGAGUACAGCAAAUACAAGAAAACGUGCAAACUUGCACACAAUCUUACUGUCCUCAGACAAUUUUCCACAAUAUCUUUGUGGAUUUCUUUCAAUCAUACACACACAAAUGUUUAUAUACACAAUUUUAUACAUAUUUAACAUUAGGCUCCUAUGAUACAUGCAAUUGUCUCUUACUUAACAUUAUAUUAUUAGCAUUUAAGUAUGUCAUUAAGUAUUCUUCAAAAAUAAAACUUUUAGUUUCUUUUUCUUGAAGUAUAAUAGACACACAGGAGUGCACACACCAUAAAUUGAUUAGCUUAAUUGAUUUUUCAAGUGAAAAUGUAAUUUUUGCACUACAAAGUAAUCUCUUGCAUGUAACUUAUCUGUGAAGCCUGUUGUUUGUAAUUUUUCAUGAGGAUAAAUAGCUCUGUCACAGGCCUCCUUGUGCACAAGACUUUGGGUGCAUCUGGUGACUGACUCUUAGUUAAACAUGCAUGACUGGAGGGCUCACCCUCCCUGACUUCAGACUAUACUACAAAGCGACAGUCAUCAAAACAGUAUGGCACUGGCCCCAAAACAGACACAUGGAUCAAUGGAACAGGAUAGAGAGCCCAGAAAUAAACCCACGCACUUGUGGUCAAUUAAUAUAUAACAAAGGAGGCAAGAAUAUACAGUGGAGAAAAGACAAUCUCUUCAAUAAACUGGACAGCUUCAUGUAAAAGAAUGAGAUUAGAACAUUCUCUAACAUUGUAUAUAAAAAUAAACUCAAAAUGGAUUAUAGACCUAAAAGUAAGACCUGAAACCAUCAAAUUCCUAGAAGAGAACAUAGGUAGAACACUCUUUGUCAGUAUUUUUUUGGACCUGUCUCCUAAGUCAAAACAAAUAAAAGCAAAAAUAAACAAAUGGGACCUAAUUAAACUUAAAAGCUUUUACAUAGCAAAGGAAACAAACAAACAAAAAAACAGAAAGAAAACCUACGGAAUGGGAGAAAAUAUUUACAAAUGAUGUGACCAACAAGGGGUUAAUACCCAACACUUAUAAACAGCUCACACAGCUCAGCCUCAGAAAAGCAAUCCAAUCAGAAACGGGCAAGCACAGGGCGAGAUACACAAGGCUCACAGUGAAGAAGAAUGUGACAACGAGUAUGUGUAUGUUCGUGUAUGACUGAAAAAUUGUGCUCUACACUGGAAAUUGACACAACAUUGUAAACUGACUGUAACUCAAUUAAAAAAAAAGAAAUGGGCAGAAGACCUGAAUAGACGUUUUUUCCAAAGAAGACAUACAGAUGGUCAACAGACACAUGAAAAUACGCUCAACAGUGCUGAUUAUUAGAGAAAUGCAAAGUAAAACCACAAUGACAUACAGCCUCGCACCUGUCAGGAUGGUCGUCAUCACGAAGACCACAAAUUGGUGAGGAUGUGGAGACAAGGGUGCCCUUGGGCACUGCUGGUGGGAAUGGGUGCAGCCCCUGUGGGAAACAGUGCGGAGGUUCAUCAAAAAACUAAAAGCAGCGUUACUGUGUGAUCCAGUAAUUCCACUUCUGGGUAUUUAACUGAAGAAAAUGAAAACACUGACUUGAAAAGAUAUCUACACUCCCGUGCUCACUGCAGCACUAUUUACAACAGCCAUGACAUGGAAGCAACCUCCGUGUCUGUCAACAGGUAAAUGGAGAACAAAAUUGUGCAGUGGAAUAUGACUCAGCCAUGAAAAAGAAUGAAGUCUUGCCUUUUGCAGCACGGACAGACCUGGUUGGACCUGCGGGUGUUGUACUAAGUGAGGGUGCUGAUGCUGCGCUCCCCCAGUCUAACUCGAAUCCCCGGCAAACCCCAUCCCACGGGGGCAGGGCUCCCACAUGAGUUGCGAAGGAACACAAACCCUCGGCCCACACAACAGUCAUGAUGCUACACCCGUGCCUACACCCUCUGGAGUCAGCACGUCAGACCCCGUCUCCUCUGAUUUGUUCCAUGUCGCUUCCCAGUACUGGGGUCGUUCCCCGUGCAAGGCUUAGCCCCUGGCUGGGGGUCAGAGGGCAGAAAGGAGAUGGCUGUUGGGAGAGGCUUUCCGAGCCAGGUUGGGGGUGCAGCCGGCACAAGGUCCAAAUGUGGAAAAGGCAGGUGGGCUGUGGGGUUGAGGGAGUUUCCGGGAUGCUUCCAGAAAGCUCUGAGCUCCCUGGCACACUUCUGGGCCACCGGGCCGGAAAUCCGUCUCAAACGCUUCCUAUGGUGCGUCCACGCCGCACCCCGCCCGUCCCAGCGGCACCUCGCCCGUCCCAGCGGCACCUCGCCCGUCCCAGCGGCUGGCCCCGGGUGUGGCCGCUCUGCAGCAGGGCUUCUGGUGGUUGAUCCUGACGGCCUCCCCAGCGGCUCUUCCCUCACGUCCAGGUGUUCCUGUGACUUCACUCCUGAGCUUGUCCUGUGCUCCUGAUUCGUGACUGCUUGUUUGCUUUAGAAAAUUUCGGGACCAAAUUUCUUGGCUACACCAGAAAAUGGAAAAGUUAUAAACGAGAGUGUUUAUGUGCUGAAAUCAAAAUUGUGUACGUGUGUGUAAGUGUGCGUGUGCAUGCGUGUGCAUGUGCGCAAACCUGGCCCCGCCUCUGCUCAGGGUUAGGUUGGCCGGGUCAAGGCCGAGGCCGGGUCAAGGCCGAGGUCGGGUCACCCAGCCUUGCUCUGCUGUGUUGUAGUUACUCCAUUCCAUUCCAUUCCAUUUUAUUUAAUUGUAUGUUUAGGCAGCAGAGAGGGAGUCUUGCCUACAGGGCCCCUCCUGGGUGUGAGGACUUGAGCUGCGAGCUUCCGCUCCGGGUGAGAGAAGGGCGGUCAGGGCGCUUGCAGACCCGGGGAAGCCCGUCCCCUGCACGCUCUGGGCCGAGUCUGGGGUUCCUGGGCUCCAGCCCUGGCGGCGCCCUGGGUUCUGCUCACACUGGGGCAGGGACCCCCGGCUGCACGUGCCGCCCAGGGCUUCUCCCCCACAGUGACCGAGGCUCGGCCACCCUGCUCCGGGGACAGUUUUUCUCGCUCUGAGUUGGGAAGAGCUGUGCUUUGUCUGAGCAGCUGUGUCGUCCAUUUCUGCACACAGUUGAUUCUGUGGCUGACGUGUUUCCUUUUUUCUGUUCGCUGGGAGCAGAGUGAUGGGUUAGACACGUGGACUCCUUCCUCCCUCGGGCUCGAUUUUCUGCACUAAGCUACAUCUCUCACUAUCUUGAGCUUGCGAACACUUACUGACGUGCUUCCAUUUCUGGGCUAGUGGCCCCCACAGGAGGGGCCAGGGAGGCAGCCCGGAGGCGGGACUGGGCUGCGCACAGGUGGGGCCACGGCCGCUCGCGGGAACUGCGUGCAGGCCCUCGGUGCCACGGGGGCGGGGGUGAGCCUAGCGGUGGCGGGGCCGUUAGCUAGAGCACAAGCCGCGUCUGCGCCGCCGCUGCACCGCUGUGUGGCCCGGGGCACGGUGCCUAACCUCUCUGAGUUUCCCCUCUGCAGGGCGGGAUUAGUAACGGAGCCUGCUCCACGAGGUCUGAGUCUUGAACGAGACCAGUCUGCCGGGGGCUGAGCAGAGGGCUGGCCUUCGCGAUUGCUAUUGCUAUUAUUAUUAGUGCCACUGGAAGGCCCGGAAACGGGGCAGGCGGAGGGCGGGGGACGCUGCCGAGACAACAUGCUCUCGGCCACAGUGAGUGUUUCCUGAUCGCCGGGGGUGGGGUGUGCCAGGCCGACUCCAGAGGCGCCCCGAGACCUCCCCCAGGCCCCCAGCCUGUGACAGGGCGGGGCUGGCCCCGUGGUGACGGUGCUCACAGGGCCAAGGGGAUUUCCCCCGUGCAGGCGUCCUCUGACCUUGGAAGUGGGAAGUCACCCUGGUGGGCCUGACCUCAUCACACAAGGCCCCGUUCCUGGACUUGAUGAGGGUGUGAUGCGUGAGGAGCCCCGCGGGGCCCAGGACAGCCCUUGGCUGACGGCCACACGGAGUCGGGCCUCGUCUUGCAACACAAGGAACUGGGCUCUGCCUCCGGGAGCCUGGUCGGGGCCUCCCCGGAGCCUCUGGAAAAGCAGAGGUGGUGGACACUUGAUCUGGGCCGUGAGCACCCAGCCUCACCCUCCAGGAUGUCCAGGUUGUGUGAUGACAGAGGGUCUGGGUGCAGCGUGCAUAGCUGCUGCCUGGGCCCCUUCCACCCGCCGCCCACUUUCCAGGCUCCACCGGAGAAGCUGGGCGGGGCGGAUGCUUCUUCCUGUGGCUUCCUGGCCGCGUCUGGAAAACGGCCCCCGAGCAGGACCCCUGUCCAUGCUGCGCACCCCCUGCGGGCCGUGGCGCCCCUUGCGGCUGCAGUGACACCUGGUCGGCGGCUCCCCGGCCAGAGGCUCCCGGAGGUGGACGGCGCCAGCAGGGAGGGGACACGUCUGUGCCUGAGUGACCCGAGUGGGUGGAGACGUGGUCGUGGGCCGGGCUGGGCAAGGUGUGCUUGCUUCCGAGGGAAGGCGUCACCAAGGCAGCCAGCAAGGCGGUGUACGCUCCUGGAGUGCCACUGUAAUUCAGCCUCCAGCGUGACUGGUAAGGCCCUGCUGGUGAGAUGCGUGUGCCUUAAACCCGAGACUGUAAACCUAAUAGGAAUUGGGUUCACUGCACGAGUCAAGAUAGUUGUACUUUGAGAAAUGUUUUCAAGGUAACAUUAAUUUCGACCUUUAUGGGAAGUGUGACAUGAGUGUGUUUUUAGAGUGGGUGUUCGCACCUGACACAUUCUCCAUUACCACCUUACCAGAUUUUCUGAGUUGCUGCCCCAGUAGGUGGGUCAGGUGUUUCCAAAAAGCAAUCACGUACUUUCAUGCUCUGCAAGGACAUGUUAUGCUGAUGGAAUGGAGCUCUCUCUGUUUCCUUCUAGGAGCCUCAAGAACACAGGGACGGGAGAGGGGGGUCCCGCUGGCGGAGCUGGGGCCUGAGAGAGUGAGGGGCCAGCGAGCCAUCAGCCGUCUCAUGUCCUCUCCUCCUAGGCCCCCUGGGGGACCUGUGCCCGGAAGAGACAACAGUUUCCAGGAUCCUAUGAUCCAAGAUCUUCCCAUGAAAUCCCUAAAAGAACAGGCCGAAGAUGUACCUGUGGGUUCCCGCCGGGCCCACCGGCUUCCCGAGUCGGUUUGGAACGUUUUCCCCUCUUUCCCUAGCCUCACCCGCUUCCGACAAAGGAGCCCUGGCCGGGUGCUGCCCUGGCAUCCACCAUGUGGGUGGAUGGCAUCGCGUAUCCCUUGAUGGACGUUUGGUUGUUUCCACGCUGGGGCCAUCCUGAGUAAGGCUGCCGGGAACACCUGUGGACGAGCUUUUCUUUGAGCCCCUGCAGGGUUUUUGGAGUGAGCUACUGUUGGGCCUUGUCUGAAGAGCUGUGACACUCCCGUCGGCCAGUGCCUGUCACCUGGACUGUGAGUCACUGCUUGGCUGUCCUGGGUUAGUUUUCCCCAGAGAAGAGGCUGCGCUUUGUUAAAUGGGCGGAUCAGGCUCUCACAGGUGUUUUGGAGGGACUCGGUGCAUCCCAGUCCUCCCUCCACUGCCUCCAGCAGCCAGGGCUUUCUGGCCCAGGAACGUCCCCAGAUGUGUGGGACCAGCCCCCUGGCCCCCCACCUGUGGCCCCGUCGCCCAGCCCCUGUCACUGCGGUGGGCUUGGGCGGAAGCGCUAUGAGCUGGGUCCCUGGGAGUGGGGGUUGGAGGAAGACAGGGACCCCCUCUCUUGACCGUUCCCGCAGUUGUGCUGGGCCCUUCCCGACACGGGCUGGCAGGACCCCGUGGGAUGACAGGGGAACUGAGGCCCUGGAACCCCAGCCAGGCCAAUGUGGACAGGAGCCUCUGUCUGCCUGCAGGGAGUCGGCCAGGUGAUCGCGGGGGCAGCGUCCGCCCCUCACCUGGGGCAACGGUCCUGCAUGUGGGCCGCGGGCCGUUCCUGGGGAGGUGAAUGCAGUGGAAGAGGGACUCUUGACUGAGAAGGAGGCGUUUCCAAGACGUAGUUCAGGGGGAUAAAGGGCAGGUGUGAGUAAAGGUUGCUUGAAUCCGUGCCGUGUGGUGUGGAGACCACGGCGAUUUCUCCCAACAUCGCCCCCCAGGGUCCAUGAUCUGGUUUCGAGGACUCACAUCCCAGCAGACGUUGCCAGGGGCCUGCCCGGACCUCUGCGGCUCUCGCCAGCCGGACCCGCGUCUGCCAGCACCUGCAUUUCUCUGCCCCUCCAGCUUGGGAGCCCCAGACGUUGUAGGGCAGACAACUGUCCCUGCUGUGCCCUUUCUGAAGUCCAGUCACUAGCACAGACCAGCAGGCCAUCCUAAAAUUAAUGGCGUGAGGCGUGAUGAAAAUGUGUGUCAUGUCGUUAACUUCGGGAUGGUUGCUGUUCUGUACUUGCAGCUGGAACAGGCGGGGCAGUGAGAGCUGAGAGCAGGAAGGGCGUCCCUGCUUCACCCCAGGAUGAGCGGACGUGGGGCAGCAAGGCCUAGGGGGCAGAGACCGGCCCCAGGCUGGGCUGCGGCUCCACCCUUCCCCCCCAGUCUGCACUGGGUGGGGGUGGCAGCGGGAAGCCUGCCUGUGUGGCCGAGCGCCGUGAUUCACUGCAAACGUGCCCGCAUAAACGGUGCACCCGGGGAGCCCGUGUCUGCCGUAAACCCUUGCCGACUGCGCUCCUGUAGUUCUGCUCCACAGGGAGGCACGCCCUGUCCCCACACCUGUCCUUCCCCGAGAUGGAAGGAGCCCUGGGCUGUCACAUCUUAAAGAGGGGACUGUCCACCUGGAGAAACCGUAACCUGAGGACGUGUGCCUGGCCGCCCGCAGGUGUCGGGCUCAGCGCUGGGUGGACUCCGGCCCCGUGGGACAUGGAGGGUCUGGGGUCCAGCAAAGGGUGCGGGGCCGGCUCUCCGUGCGUUUGGGAUGUUGAAGAAGACUCGGGGCCGGGGUUGUGAGGAGCAAGUGCGGCCACAGCACAGCUCGUUGGGGGGACACGCCAGCUGUGUGACGUGCCCUCAGGCGCCCUCGCUGGCGGCCCUGCUCCUGCUCCUGCUGUGAGGACACCUGCGCUGCACUCCCCGCAGGGGCCCCAGGAUGCUCCGCGAACGUCUGGGGCUCCUGGAGGCAGCUCGGAGGAGGGGGCUGUGCCUGAGUCCCUUGGGGAAGGAGGUGGCCAUGGACGCUCAGAGCGGGUGACAGUCCUCACUGCCAGCGGUCCCCGGCUGGGUGAUGCUGCUGUGGGGGCGCUUGGAGACCCUCUGAGAAUCGGACACUACACGAAAUGAGACUCUACAACCUCCUCGUUUGGGCUGAAGGGUUGGCCUUUGAUAAUAUGCUAAUUAAGCUGCCUGCCUUCCUUUAAGUCCAGUCUGUCAGGUCGCUCCUGUGAGCUGGGGGUUUCCUGGGUGCGGGGGAGAAUGGUUGGAUAAGAGGACAAAAUUCCUCGUCCAUUAAGAGUUUCGGUCCAGCGGGAGAGGAGGAGGGAAAAGAAGUGAGGGGUACAGGUGGCCAGGGGCUGGGAGCUCUCAGAAGAGGAAUAAAGGGGAAGGAGCCGGGGACAGUGCUG